rnacentral:rRNA from 1 species
GAUGAACGCUAGCGGCAGGCCUAAUACAUGCAAGUCGAGGGGUAGAAGGGGCUUGCUUCUUUGAGACCGGCGCACGGGUGCGUAACGCGUAUGCAACCUACCUUCAUCUGGGGGAUAGUCCGGAGAAAUCCGGAUUAAUACCGCAUAAAAUCACAGGAUGGCAUUAUCCAAUGAUCAAACAUUUAUGGGCUGGAGAUGGGCAUGCGUGUCAUUAGCUAGUUGGCGGGGUAACGGCCUACCAAGGCGACGAUGACUAGGGGAUCUGAGAGGAUGGCCCCCCACACUGGUACUGAGACACGGACCAGACUCCUACGGGAGGCAGCAGUAAGGAAUAUUGGUCAAUGGAGGCAACUCUGAACCAGCCAUGCCGCGUGCAGGAAGACUGCCCUAUGGGUUGUAAACUGCUUUUAUUCGGGAAUAAACCUUAUUACGUGUAAUAAGCUGAAUGUACCGAAGGAAUAAGGAUCGGCUAACUCCGUGCCAGCCGCCGCGGUAA